rnacentral:misc_RNA from 1 species
GAUGAAGAACGUAGCGAAAUGCGAUAAGUAAUGUGAAUUGCAGAAUUCAGUGAAUCAUCGAAUCUUUGAACGCACAUUGCGCCCUCUGGUAUUCCGGGGGGCAUGCCUGUUCGAGCGUCAUUACAACCCUCAAGCUCUGCUUGGUAUUGGGCUUCAUCCGUCAGGGUGGGCCUCAAAAUCAGUGGCGGUGCCAUUCGGCUUCAAGCGUAGUAAUUUUCUCGCUCUGGAGUACCGUUUGUGUGCCUGCCAGCAAACACCAAUAUUUUAAAGGUUGACCUCGGAUCAGGUAGGGAUACCCGCUGAACUUAAGCAUAUCAAUAAGCGGAGGA